rnacentral:rRNA from 1 species
CUGCGGAGGGAUCAUUAAAGAGAGUAUAAAACUCCCUAACCCAUGUGAACUUACCACUGUUGUUGCCUCGGCAGGUUGUGUUAUACCGUGUCGUCAGGCACGGGAUAGCCCUGCCUGCCGGUGGCCUAUUAAAUUCUGUUUAUUAUAUUAUUCUGAACCUAAAUAAGAAAUUAUUAAAACUUUCAACAACGGAUCUCUUGGUUCUGGCAUCGAUGAAGAACGCAGCGAAAUGCGAUAAGUAAUGUGAAUUGCAGAAUUCAGUGAAUCAUCGAAUCUUUGAACGCACAUUGCGCCCAUUAGUAUUCUAGUGGGCAUGCCUGUUCGAGCGUCAUUUCAACCCUUAAGCCUCUGUUGCUUAGCGUUGGGGGCCUACAGCUUUUAGCUGUAGCUCCCUAAAUUGAGUGGCGGAAUCGGUUCACGCUCUAGAUGUAGUAAUUAUUUUUAAUCUCGCCUAGAGCUGCCCCGAUUUCCUGCCGUAAAACCCCCUACUUUUUAAAGGUUGACCUCGGAUCA